rnacentral:rRNA from 1 species
AAUAGAUACCCUGGUAGUCCACGCCGUAAACGAUGAGUGCUAGGUGUCGCGGGUUUUGACCCCUGCGGUGCCGUAGCUAACGCAUUAAGCACUCCGCCUGGGGAGUACGGCCACAAGGCUAAAACUCAAAGGAAUUGACGGGGGCCCGCACAAGCGGUGGAGCAUGUGGUUCAAUUCGACGCAACGCGCAGAACCUUACCUGGGCUAGAAAAUGCAAGAACCUGGUUGAAAGAUCGGGGUGCCCUUCGGGGAGCUUGUAGUUAGGUGCUGCGUGGCUGUCGUCAGCUCGUGUCGUGAGAUGUUGGGUUAAGUCCCGCAACGAGCGCAACCCUUGUCGUUAGUUGCCAGCGGUUCGGCCGGGCACUCUAGCGAGACUGCCGAUAUUUAAAUCGGAGGAAGGUGGGGAUGACGCCAAGUCAUCAUGGCCCUUAUGUCCAGGGCUACACACGUGCUACAAUGAUCGGUACAAACGGUCGCGAACCCGCGAGGGGAAGCUAAUCCGAAAAAACCGACCUCAGUACGGAUAAGAGUCUGCAACUCGACUCGUUU